rnacentral:misc_RNA from 1 species
GAUGAAGAACGUAGCGAAAUGCGAUAAGUAAUGUGAAUUGCAGAAUUCAGUGAAUCAUCGAAUCUUUGAACGCACCUUGCGCUCCUUGGUAUUCUGAGGAGCAUGCCUGUUUGAGUAUCAUAAAAUUGUCAACUGUGUCACUUUUAUAGUGAUUUACAGAUUGGAUAUGGGAGUUUUUGCAGGCCUAGUUUGUCAGCUCUCCUGAAACACAUUAGCAGUGCCUUGUUGGUCCUUGGGUGUGAUAAUUUAUCUAUGCCUUGAUGUGUACCUUCAUGAAGGUUGUGCUGCUUCCAAUGGUCUUUGGACACAUUUAUUGAAGAUUUGAUCUCAAAUCAGGCAGGACUACCCGCUGAACUUAAGCAUAUCAAUAAGCGGAGGA